AUGGCGGAUAUGGGAUUGGCGACUAGGGAAGACGACCACGGUGACAGAAUUGAACCGGAGGGAGAGAUGGGGAGGAGCGGGGCUUCACCGUGGGGGUGCUGCUGGAGUCAGGCGCUUGGGUCCGUGAAGCAGAGGAAGCAGAGGAAGAUGAUGUCGAGGAACUUGGUGGCUCCGGCCUUGGAUCGCAGCGGGAACGAGGUCGUGAAGGUCUCUUGGUGCGCGAGGAAGGAGGGAACCGGCAGAACGGGCUACGCCGGAGAAGAGGUUCGGCUCGUCCCAGACAUGGCAUCGGGAGGCAAGGCAGCAGGUCGCGUGGGAGCGUCUUACCUGCGCGGCGGCGGCGGAGAAGAGGGAGAGGAGGAAGAUGGAAAACCCUAG
rnacentral:rRNA from 1 species